rnacentral:rRNA from 1 species
UUGAAGCAUGAUCGUAAGGACAUGUGGAGCGCUUAGAAGUGAGAAUGCCGGUGUGAGUAGUGAAAGACGGGUGAGAAUCCCGUCCACCGAUUGACUAAGGUUUCCAGAGGAAGGCUCGUCCGCUCUGGGUUAGUCGGGUCCUAAGCUGAGGCCGACAGGCGUAGGCGAUGGAUAACAGGUUGAUAUUCCUGUACCACCUAUAAUCGUUUUAAUCGAUGGGGGGACGCAGUAGGAUAGGCGAAGCGUGCGAUUGGAUUGCACGUCUAAGCAGUAAGGCUGAGUAUUAGGCAAAUCCGGUACUCGUUAAGGCUGAGCUGUGAUGGGGAGAAGACAUUGUGUCUUCGAGUCGUUGAUUUCACACUGCCGAGAAAAGCCUCUAGAUAGAAAAUAGGUGCCCGUACCGCAAACCGACACAGGUAGUCAAGAUGAGAAUUCUAAGGUGAGCGAGCGAACUCUCGUUAAGGAACUCGGCAAAAUGACCCCGUAACUUCGGGAGAAGGGGUGCUCUUUAGGGUUAACGCCCAGAAGAGCCGCAGUGAAUAGGCCCAAGCGACUGUUUAUCAAAAACACAGGUCUCUGCUAAACCGUAAGGUGAUGUAUAGGGGCUGACGCCUGCCCGGUGCUGGAAGGUUAAGAGGAGUGGUUAGCUUCUGCGAAGCUACGAAUCGAAGCCCCAGUAAACGGCGGCCGUAACUAUAACGGUCCUAAGGUAGCGAAAUUCCUUGUCGGGUAAGUUCCGACCCGCACGAAAGGCGUAACGAUUUGGGCACUGUCUCAACGAGAGACUCGGUGAAAUCAUAGUACCUGUGAAGAUGCAGGUUACCCGCGACAGGACGGAAAGACCCCGUGGAGCUUUACUGUAGCCUGAUAUUGAAAUUCGGCACAGCUUGUACAGGAUAGGUAGGAGCCUUUGAAACGUGAGCGCUAGCUUACGUGGAGGCGCUGGUGGGAUACUACCCUAGCUGUGUUGGCUUUCUAACCCGCACCACUUAUCGUGGUGGGAGACAGUGUCAGGCGGGCAGUUUGACUGGGGCGGUCGCCUCCUAAAAGGUAACGGAGGCGCUCAAAGGUUCCCUCAGAAUGGUUGGAAAUCAUUCAUAGAGUGUAAAGGCAUAAGGGAGCUUGACUGCGAGACCUACAAGUCGAGCAGGGUCGAAAGACGGACUUAGUGAUCCGGUGGUUCCGCAUGGAAGGGCCAUCGCUCAACGGAUAAAAGCUACCCCGGGGAUAACAGGCUUAUCUCCCCCAAGAGUUCACAUCGACGGGGAGGUUUGGCACCUCGAUGUCGGCUCAUCGCAUCCUGGGGCUGUAGUCGGUCCCAAGGGUUGGGCUGUUCGCCCAUUAAAGCGGUACGCGAGCUGGGUUCAGAACGUCGUGAGACAGUUCGGUCCCUAUCCGUCGUGGGCGUAGGAAAUUUGAGAGGAGCUGUCCUUAGUACGAGAGGACCGGGAUGGACAUACCUCUGGUGUACCAGUUGUCGUGCCAACGGCAUAGCUGGGUAGCUAUGUGUGGACGGGAUAAGUGCUGAAAGCAUCUAAGCAUGAAGCCCCCCUCAAGAUGAGAUUUCCCAACUUCGGUUAUAAGAUCCCUCAAAGAUGAUGAGGUUAAUAGGUUCGAGGUGGAAGCAUGGUGACAUGUGGAGCUGACGAAUACUAAUCGAUCGAAGACUUAAUCAA